CGGAAUAUAAACAACAAUUGCGGAAGAAAUAAUUAAAAACCAAAAUAGUGAAAUAAAACGGAGUUUAAAGUUUUGCUCGACAUACACAAUAACAACUCUCGAAACUAAUAACAUUUCCCAAAACCCGUAAUCUCAUGAUCACAAGCCUUUGAAUGUCUACAAACAUCUAACUCAAGAAUAUCUAACAAAGAAACGAAAGUACAGAAGGGCUAGUACAAAAAGGGGGAGUAGAAAUGAACUCUUCGGUCUGCGGACGCGACAGAUAUACCUCAGAGUCUCUACAAGUGUCUCGUCUCAAGCGUGAUAAGUCUGAGUGGAAGUACAUGGAUCUGCACAUGAAAAACAUGCGCAGAAAAGGCAUGAGUACACCACAACGGUACUCAGUAAGUGCCAAGCCUAACCUCGAUCGGGUAGUGACGAGGAAGGUCAGGGCCCUAAUGAGGUUAAAUAAAAUAUAAGGUUUAACAGAAUAGAACAAAAACAGUAUAGAUAAGUACAAUAGUAAAAGUAACACAGGAUAUAAAGGACAACAACAACUACCAUAGAGGCCAAGUAAACACAAAAAGAAAUGCAGCUCAGCACAAUGAUAACAACCGAGGAUCUCCCAGGAUACCGUCCUAUAGUCCCAAAUAUAAAUAUCCAGUGGAUCUCCAAGAUACCAUCCCGUAGUCCAACUCAUAAUGCGAAGGGAUCUCCCGGAAUAUCGAUCCGUAGUCACAAAUGUAAACACUCGGUACAGGGGGAAUCUACCGGGUGCAGUCCCAUAGUUCCAAUGUAAAUAUGUAGGGGGAUCUCCCGGAAUACCGUUCCGUAGUCCCAAAGUAAACAUACAGGGGGAUCUCCCGGGAUACCGUCCCGUAGUGCCAAACUAAACACAUAGCAACAACAAGAAGAGUACACAGUUCAAUUCAAGUUCCAUACCAAGGUAAAACAGGUAUUUCUAACCUAGCAUGCUGCACACAAUCCAAAUAAGGCAGCUUGAGCAAGUAAGGCAAUUAAGUCAACUAGACAUGCUUUCAUAAGCUAACAACAAGCUUAAAUUUCAAGUAGUAUAAACAAGAAGAGAAACAUACUAGUAAUUACUUAAUGAAAAUCGGAUUUUCAACAAUUAGCACAAGUACGCACUCUUCACCUAACGUAAAAGGCAUUUUAAUUAUCAAUAAUACCAAAUCCUAAGGAGAAGGUCCCCCUCCACAAGGUUAGACAAGCCACUUACCUCGAACCGGCUCAAAGUCAACCCGAAACCACGUUCUUGCCAUGAGUACUCGACUCCAAAUGGCCCAAAUCUAUUCAAUUCAAUUGCAUAACAUAAAUAACACUUCAAGUAACUGAUUCUACAAAGAAAUUCUAAGCUAAUACGCGAAAUUAAGUCAAAUGACCAAAAUGCUCCUCAGACCCACGUCUCGAAAUCGGGUAAAAUUUACAUUUUCAGAAUUCUCACACUCUCACGAGUUCAGUCAUACCAAAAGUACCAAAAUCGGACCUCAAAUGAUCCCUCAAAUCAUCACUCAAAUGUCUCUAAUUAAUCAAGCCCUAACACCCAAAUUACCACUGAUUUUCCUUAAAUUUUCAUGCUUACAAUGCUAAAAAUCACCUCAAUAACGAGUUUAAGGACCAAAGACCUUACCCCAAUGAAUUCCUCUGAAAAUCUCCCUUGAAAAUGCUCCCCAAGGCUUCUUCCCGUUUGAAAAGAAGUGAAAAAUAACUCAAAUUCGCGAAGACAACUAUUUAUAUGUUCUGCCCAGCUAAUCCGCUUCGGUGGUCAUGGGACCGCACCUGCGGUCCCGUUUUUGCGGAACAAAGGUCGCAUCUACGACAGCUCACUAAACUCAGCUUUCCGCACCUACGACUUCCCAUACGCAGAUGCGGUACCGCUUCUGCGGUGAAGCUCCCACUUAUGCGGCUCCUGCUGGUUCUCCCCUUUCCACUUCUGCGAUGAUACCACCGCUUCUGCGGCUAUGCACCUGCGGGACCCAACCGUAGAUGCGGUUAUGAUAGAAGAUGUUGCUCAAACAACUCCCAAUUCUUCCGACAACCUUCCGAAACCAUCCCGAGGCCCCCGGGACCUCAACUAAAAACAGAAACAAGUCUAAUACCACUAUCCAAACUUAUACCAAUCCUCAAAACACCUAAAACAACAUCAAAACGAUGAAUCAACCACAGAUUCAAGCCUAAGAACUCCAAAACUCUAAAUUUACGCUUUCGAUCAAAAAGUCUAUCAAACCUCGUCUGAAUGAACUGAAAUUUUGCACACACGUCACAUUCAACACUACGGAGCCACUCCAACUUCCGGAAUUCCAUUCCAACCCUCGGAUCAAAAUCUCACCAUCGAAACGGAAACUUCAAAAUUCGACUUUCGGCAUUUCAAACCUAAAUUAGCUACGGACCUCCAAAACACAAUCUGAAUACGCCCCUAAGCCCGAAAUCACCCAACGGAGCUAACGAACCAUCAGAAUUCCAUUUCGAGGCCGUCUUCACGCUAUUGAAACUACGGUCAAAUUUCUAAAACUUAAGCUCUCAUUUAGGGAAUAAGUGUUAUCACACCUCCUUUUUACCUACACCCCGGAAGGGUAUAAGGGAAUUUUUCCAAUUUAAGCGACAAUCGAAACGAGAUUAUUUUAUUUAUUAAAUUCAGAGUCGUCACUUGGGAUAAUUUAUGGUGUCCCAAGUCACCGGUUCAAAUCCCGAAUCGAGGAAUAGAUUGACUAUGUAUUACGGUCCGCGAACUAGAAAUCCGAGUAAGGAAUUCUGCUAACUCGGGAGAAGGUGUUAGGUAUUCCCGAGUUCCGUGGUUCUAGCACGGUCGCUUAACUGUUAUAUUCAGCUUAAUUAUCUGAAUUUUAACGAUUAUGAACCUAUGUGCAAAUUUUAACUUUUAACUGCUUUUAUUUAAUUUUUAAAGAAGAUUGAACGUCGUUUAAAAUGUGUCUUUAGAUCGCGCCACAUGAAAUGCACCCGCAAUCCUAAACACAUUUUAGUCAACGUUUUAAGAUUUGAUUUGGGUCACAUGAAAUGCACACGCGAGUUUAGGAAGGUAAAUUAUUAAAAUAACGUGCCUAAGCAACUACGCGUUUUAACUUUGCGAGGGCCAUGGAAAAUUCGCUAAAUGGCACGCCUCGACUUUAUUAAAGAAAAGGCAUUCAAUUAAGUGAACUACGGAUAUUCAUAUUUAAAACUAAGUUGAAAUGAAGUAUCACAACUACGUCACGGGAACCGUACCCGUAGUCGUGAUGAUUUAGUUACGCGUCUAAAGCGGGCUACGAUGUCGGGUUGGAAUCAGUGCUGGCAGCUCGAAAUUCAUCAAACUACUGGCACCCGAUUAAAUCGACAUUCCACGAGAUCGAGGUCCGCUAGCACAGAAAUGAAAUUCGAACUUUGAAGUAUUAUAUCCACAAAUUUUAUUUCAACUACCUGACUUUAAUAGCCAGUGAAGACAAAACAAAGGAAAAUUAUAUAUGCUCCUUAAUCAAAUAGCCACUCGAUCCUUGUAGAUAAUCGGCUAUAGGCAGUAAAUAAACAAACCACAAAUUAGAGCUAGUUCAUCCUGUUGAAAUCGUUUACAGAUGCAUCAGGCUUAAUUCCUUUACGCUAAUUUCACCAAGCACUCCAAAGAGAUAUCAAACACCACCAGUAAAAUGAAAAAAAAAGUAAAACAAAUCUAAACCAACAAAUCAGAAAUAACAUUAAGACAAGAUAAAACAUGAUAAUUGCCAAUCUUGCAACAUAUUGCUAGUAAUAGAGAAUUUUGUGACAAAACCGCAGAGGCUCAAACACUUCAACGAAUCAGAGAUUCGAAUUUCAUGGUUGACAGAUUUGCGACAAACACCAAAUUUAAAAGACCAUUCGACAGAAUAUAGCAUCACACGAUAAGCAAAACACCAAGUUUCUUACAACUACCAAAUCGGUUCCCGAAAUUCAACCUCUACUAUUCUUAUUAUACUUUCAAUCACACCAAAACAGAGUAAGGGAAGAAACGAACCAGAAAAUGACCACAAAUGGAACGGGGACUCGACGAUCUCGAACGUCUCCAACCCUCAACCCCGAACAACUCACCGGAUGGACUUCAACGAUGGACUCUAUGAAAUUGAAGCUGAAAGUCGAAAUUGAAACCGAAGGGGAGAGGCAGAAGCUUCUCUGCUUAUUUUUGUUGGAUUAAAAAUCAGGUCGUCCCCCUCUCACUCUAUUUUCGCUUCUGUUGGUGUGUGUGUGAGAGAGCAGUGAGGAGCAGCGACUGGGGAAGAUUGGAGGAGUUCUGGCAGGCGGGGUCUCUUUUUCCGGCGAUUCUCGAGAGGUUCAGAAGGUGGGUCGCUGGUUUCAGGGGUCUUUAGUUUGGGUCGAUGGCUGAUGGCAGUAGUUCUAGGGAUGCUGGUCGUUUGUGAUUAGGAAGGAGCCAUGGAAUUUUGCCACCUCUUCUCUGAAGGAGAAGAUCAAGUCGAUGGGGCUCUCUCUAUUUUUGUUCAGACGCGA
rnacentral:lncRNA from 1 species